rnacentral:rRNA from 1 species
CCUACGGGAGGCAGCAGUGGGGGAUAUUGCACAAUGGGGGAAACCCUGAUGCAGCGACGCCGCGUGGGCGAAGAAGUAUUUCGGUAUGUAAAGCCCUAUCAGCAGGGAAGAAGAAAUGACGGUACCUGAGGAAGAAGCACCGGCUAAAUACGUGCCAGCAGCCGCGGUAAUACGUAGGGGGCAAGCGUUAUCCGGAUUUACUGGGUGUAAAGGGAGUGUAGGCGGCACGGCAAGCCUGAUGUGAAAGCCCGCGGCCUAACCGCGGGACUGCAUUGGAAACUGCCGGGCUGGAGUGCCGGAGAGGUAGACGGAAUUCCUAGUGUAGCGGUGAAAUGCGUAGAUAUUAGGAGGAACACCAGUGGCGAAGGCGGCCUGCUGGACAGUGACUGACGCUGAGGCGCGAAAGCGUGGGGAGCAAACAGGAUUAGAUACCCGGGUAGUC